GAUGAACGCUGGGGGCGUGCUUAACACAUGCAAGUCGAACGAAGCACUCUAUUUGAUUUUCUUCGGAAAUGAAGAUUUUGUGACUGAGUGGCGGACGGGUGAGUAACGCGUGGGUAACCUGCCUCAUACAGGGGGAUAACAGUUGGAAACGACUGCUAAUACCGAAUAAGCGCACAGUAUUGCAUGAUACAGUGUGAAAGACUCCGGUGGUAUGAGAUGGACCCGCGUCUGAUUAGCUAGUUGGUGGGGCAACGGCCUACCAAGGCGACGAUCAGUAGCCGACCUGGGAGGGUGACCGGCCACAUUGUGACUGAGACACGGCCCAAACUCCUACAGGAGGCAGCAGUGGGGAAUAUUGCACAAUGGGGGAAACCCUGAUGCAGCGACGCCGCGUGAACGAAGAAGUAUUUCGGUAUGUAAAGUUCUAUCAGCAGGGAAGAUAAUGACGGUACCUGACUAAGAAGCACCGGCUAAAUACGUGCCAGCCGCCGCCGUAA
rnacentral:rRNA from 1 species